rnacentral:rRNA from 1 species
UACGAACGCUGGCGGCGCGCCUAAUACAUGCAAGUCGAGCGAGAAGACGUAGCAAUACGUUUGUAAAGCGGCGAACGGGUGAGGAAUACAUGGGUAACCUACCCUCGAGUGGGGAAUAACUAGCCGAAAGGUUAGCUAAUACCGCGUACGCUCCUUGGACUUCGGUUCAGGGAGGAAAGCGAUACCGUGGGUAUCGCGCUCUUGGAUGGGCUCAUGUCCUAUCAGCUUGUUGGUGAGGUUAACGGCUCACCAAGGCUUCGACGGGUAGCUGGUCUGAGAGGACGAUCAGCCACACUGGCACUGCGACACGGGCCAGACUCCUACGGGAGGCAGCAGUAAGGAAUAUUGCGCAAUGGGCGAAAGCCUGACGCAGCGACGCCGCGUGGGGGAGUGAAGGUCUUCGGAUU